GCGUGCCGGGGGACGGGACGGGACGGGACGGCGCGGCGGGAGGGCUGCUCGCACACCGCUGCUGAGUAGAAGGGCGAGGGGCGCUGGGGACGCACUGAGGAAGCCCAGCGAAGUGAAAAGCAGGAUUUUAUGAUAAUUUUUGCUGUGGUUUGUUGCCUAAACCCGAGGAGCAGCUCACCUACGCGCCCUCCAGCCCGCCUCUCACGGCGCGGCUGUUUCCUGCUGCCCCCCGGCCCCGCCCUUUGCUUUUGCUCAUCUGACUUUCUGGUGGAGCUGUGUGGAGUCUCCCGGCAGCUGCGUGUACACGUCAUUAACUGCAUAAAAUCCCUUAACGGAUAACUUGCAGAAUAGUUCCUAAUUCGGUUUGUAUAGAUGGAUAAUUGUAACUUCUCUUUGCAGUUAUUUUUUACUUUGCUGUUGUCCUACUGUGGCGGUGUGCUCUCCCUGGUUUGCCCCCCCCCCUCCCUCUCGGCUCCUGCCCGGACUUUAUGACAAUACAGAAAUAUUAUGGGUAAUGAAGUCAUCCCAUAAAAUUCAUUGUCUUGUAGAGUGACCACAAAAUCCAGUCUACAUGGUGAUCGUCCACCGUGGCAAGAUUUUACUGUAUCUGACCUGGGACCAGCUAAUGGAUUGCCGGUAACAUAUAUCAACAAGAUGCAAGGUCUGCUGAGGGUACAAGUGAAGAAAAUACAGUCUAAAAAGGUGCAAACCACAGAAGAAUGGCUAAGAAAGUACAGUUUAGAAUCCUUACAAUUGACAUUAAAGCAUCUGAUAAAUGAAGGCAAUAUUUUUUUGAAUUCGGGAAAUGGUGUUGAAGAGAUGGAGUUUACAGAAGAGACCGUUACUGAUUUUGAGUCCAGACUUUCUGAGCUGUUCUGAGGAGUGCCUCCACUUCAGUGUACCUCACUGUGUCAGUCACGAAGAUCCAGAAUCUCCAGAAGGUCCACCUGCAGUACUUGGGCCCCGCACAAUCGAAGCAAACUCUUCUGCAAAUCUGGUUUAAAAAAGAAGUAGCUUUUGUGUUGUGAAAAAGCGAAGAGGUUUUUCCCCCUUUAAAAUGUUGAUUUAAGCUGUCUGCCAAAUUGUAAAAUCUUUGCACGUGGUAUUAAAAAUAAGUUGGCUGAAGUAAAACAAUUUUAGAGGACAGCAAGCACUUCGUAUUACCUCAGGUUAUACCUAUUUUGAAAUGAAGUUGUUGAAAGUUGCGCUGUGUUUAGUCUGGCAUGUCAGUGA
rnacentral:lncRNA from 1 species